CACGCGCGGGAUCCGGCGAUCACCCAGGCCUCAUGAGCCCGGGGUGCCUGGUUCGACACCAGGACGCGCGACCA
rnacentral:tRNA from 1 species